UUUGGAAUGGCUUUUUUUCACGACCUCAAUUUGGAGAUUCAAAGCCAUCAUUAUUCUGGCCAAUGUUUUUCUCUAGAAGUCUUCUGUCUCACAAACAGGCCAAGUGUUUGA
rnacentral:lncRNA from 1 species